rnacentral:rRNA from 1 species
GACCCUAUAGAGUUUUAUAAAUUUUAUUAUUUAAAUUUUUUAGAAUUUUUUAUUUUGAUAAUAAAAUUUAUUUGGUUGGGGUGACUAAAAAAUUAAAUAAACUUUUUUAUAAUUAUAUCACUGAUUUGUGUACAUUUGAUCCAUUAUUUAUGAUUAUUAGAUAAAAUUACCUUAGGGAUAACAGCGUUAUUUUCUUUGAGAGUUCAAAUCGAAAAGAAAGUUUGCGACCUCGAUGUUGGAUUAAAAUAAACUCCUGGUGUAGCAGCUAGGAAAGUUUGGUCUGUUCGACCAUUAAAAUUUUACAUGAUCUGA